rnacentral:rRNA from 1 species
AUGAACGCUGGCGGCGUGCUUAACCCAUGCAAGUCGAACGCAGCACCUCUCCCGAAGAUUGACACAGCUUGCUGUAGAUUGAUUCAUUUGAGGUGACUGAGUGGCGGACGGGUGAGUAACGCGUGGGUAACCUGCCUCAUAGAGGGGGACAACAGUUGGAAACGACUGCUAAUACCGCAUAGUAAGAAGAAUUCGCAUGUUUUCUUCUUGAAAGAUUUAUCGCUAUGAGAUGGACCCGCGUCUGAUUAGCUAGUUGGUAAGGUAACGGCUUACCAAGGCGACGAUCAGUAGCCGGCUUGAGAGAGUGAACGGCCACAUUGGGACUGAGACACGGCCCAAACUCCUACGGGAGGCAGCAGUGGGGAAUAUUGCACAAUGGGGGAAACCCUGAUGCAGCGACGCCGCGUGAGUGAAGAAGUAUUUCGGUAUGUAAAGCUCUAUCAGCAGGGAAGAUAAUGACGGUACCUGACUAAGAAGCCCCGGCUAACUACGU